UACAAACAAGAUUAAAAAUGUGAUUAUGUGAGGUUUAAAGGAUUCGAUAAACACCCGAUGAUAUGUUUGACGAGUCUAGAGCAACAUAAUUGAAAACUAUUCUCAACCAGAUUAGGUUUCGAGUUGUAAUGUAUUGAUCGAAAAACAAUAUAUCUAAAGAACACAAUACGUGCUCAACUAUAUGUUUAAAGAGUCUAGAGCAACAUAAUUGAAAACUAUUCUUAACCAGAUUAGGUUUCGAGUCGUAAUAUAAUAAUCGAAAAACAACAUAUUUGAAGAACUCAAAACGCGCUCAGCUAAAGGAUUCGAUACGCGCCCGAUGAUAUGUUUGACGAGUCUAGAGCAGCAUAAUUGAAAACUAUUCUUAACCAGAUUAGGUUUCGAGUUGUAAUGUAUUGAUCGAAAAAUAAUAUAUCUGAAGAACUCAAUACGUGCUCAGCUAUAUGUUUAAAGAGUCUAGAGCAACAUAAUUGAAAACUAUUCUUAACCAGAUUAGGUUUCGAGUUGUAAUGUAUUGAUCGAAAAAUAAUAUAUCUGAAGAACUCAAUACGUGCUCAGCUAUAUGUUUAAAGAGUCUAGAGCAACAUAAUUGAAAACUAUUCUUAACCAGAUUAGGUUUCGAGUCGUAAUAUAAUAAUCGAAAAACAACAUAUUUGAAGAACUCAAAACGCGCUCAGCUAAAGGAUUCGAUACGCGCCCGAUGAUAUGUUUGACGAGUCUAGAGCAACAUAAUUGAAAACUAUUCUUAACCAGAUUAGGUUUCGAGUUGUAAUGUAUUGAUCGAAAAAUAAUAUAUCUGAAGAACUCAAUACGUGCUCAGCUAUAUGUUUAAAGAGUCUAGAGCAACAUAAUUGAAAACUAUUCUUAACCAGAUUAGGUUUCGAUGCGUAAUAUAUUGAUCGAAAAACAACAUAUUUGAAGAACUCAAUACGCGCUCAGCUAUAUGUUUGAAAGAGUCUGUAGAAACAUAAUUAAAAACUAUUGUUAGCUAGAGAUCUCGAGUCAGAAAAUAUUAAUUUAUUGCUCCAUGUAGGGUAGAUCUCGAUACUCUUCCAUGUUAAAUUCAUAUCUUCUUAUUGGAAUAUCAUAUAAAUUUAUAAUAAAAUCAUUAAUACCUGAAUUAAUGAAAACCAAAGCUUUUUUCACCAUUUCUCCAAAACAUAUUUUCUAUUUCUCUAAAUAUUCUUUAAAAUUCCACUUUUAAAUAAAAUCAUUAUUUCCAGCAUCAACUAUUGAAUCCCCCAAAACAAAAAUUGAUGUAAAAUUGGGCAUGGACUGACUUUUAAUUGUGUUACACAAAAAAAGGCCAAAGAAAAAAAAUAGGAAAAAAAAAUUAUGUGCCAUGACUUAAAAUUAAAAUUUGAUCAAAGUUUGUGAUGGUUUAGAAAUAUGUGAUUGUGUACAUAAUUUUGUGUUAUAUAUGUAGCAAUAUAUUUACAAUUUUGGAGAUAUGGACAAAUGAUA
rnacentral:lncRNA from 1 species